AUUGAUACAGCUGGGUCAAAUGGUGGUUCUAUUCCAAGGAAUCUCCAUACUGCUUUUCAUAUUGGCUGCACCAAUUUGCAGUCCCACCAGCAAU
rnacentral:pre_miRNA from 1 species